rnacentral:rRNA from 1 species
UAACACGUAGGUAACCUGCCCAUGUGUCCGGGAUAACUGCUGGAAACGGUAGCUAAAACCGGAUAGGUAUACAGAGCGCAUGCUCAGUAUAUUAAAGCGCCCAUCAAGGCGUGAACAUGGAUGGACCUGCGGCGCAUUAGCUAGUUGGUGAGGUAACGGCCCACCAAGGCGAUGACGCGUAGCCGGCCUGAGAGGGUAAACGGCCACAUUGGGACUGAGACACGGCCCAA